AAAGGGUUGACAGACUAAUGUGAUCGACUUAAGCUCGAUACAAAGGAGYCAUAUUCCUCCUACCCUUUA
rnacentral:tRNA from 1 species